AUGUGGCCUGAUAAGGCAGUGAAGUUUGUUAACAAAUGAGAGGCCUGUGUGGGAUGCUGUAGGAUAACCCUAACUGAGACUGGAUCUGUUCUGUGCUGCUAUGGCCUUCCUAGAGCUUCCUGGUGGUCAGGUUGUUAUUGGUAUGACUGUUACUUUGGUGCAGGAAGGCAGACUUCUCCUUCAACAUACGUAGCAUCUAGCUGGAGAAAGUGAUGGACCAGACUAGAGCUGCUUCAUCUUGAUGCUUCAGCUGUGCAGUCAACUUACCUGUGUGCCUGUAUGAUACAGGCUUGGUGUAAAGGGGUGUUAACAACUCCAACUAUGCUGCACAGCUACUUCAUCCUUGUAAGCAACUUCUCUCUGUUUCUCCCAUGUAUCACCUGGGGACCAUGACUCUUACAAGCCUCACCAGGUUGUUGUCAGGAUUAAUUAUAAUGUUUGCAAAGUGCUUUGAAGAUAAAAAGUGCUAGAACAGAACUGAAAGGGAUGACAGAGUUUACUGUGGUGUGUAGUUCCUGACACAUCGAAUGGUGCUCUAUAAUAUAAUUUCAUGAAGUCUGGAGAAAAUCCAAAGCUUUAUCAACAGCUCAAAAAAAGAAGUAAAAUGGAAGAAAAUGGUGCCAUAAGAGGAAGAUAUUAAAUGUAGCAUUAGAAAGGGUGAGAGAAGAACUGGAAUGCCACUGUGAUGAUCUUUUCCACAUGAUGACCACUGUUUUCACUAAUUAUCACCAGACAGCUGGGACCUCUAGAGAUUGCCUAGUCUAACCCCUCCUGCUCCAAGCCUGAAGUUAUCUGAAACCUCAAAAUUAAAAAUUGUCUUCUCAAAGAGCUGUAUCAUUUAGGACAUGCAGAGUUACUGUUCAGCACCUAAGGAGGUUGUUAACUUGUUUUAUGCUGCUUUUUUUAUUCUUUGAAUGUUAUGAAUUUAAUGUCGCCAGAUAUCUUGUGCCCUUCCAGGUGAUCAACUUCAGCAAAACACAAGCCUCUGAAAUCAAAUGUGAAAUUAAGAAACAGGGUGAUACAACAUGUAAUCUGUCCCUUCCAGAGGCAGAAACUGGUCUCUGGAAUUACCUGCAUACAGUCUGCUAACAUUCAUUAUAUUAGACAUACCUAUAUUGAUUGCAGUAGGAUUAGCCAGAAUUCAGCAGAGGGGAGACUGCAAAUAGGUGAUCCAGGCAGUUUGGCUGAUCUUUCGUGACAUGAAGAAUUCUAACGGCCUUUUGCCCCUUUCAGGUUAUCAAAACAUCCCCAUUUUUCUUUUGAUAAAAGGGAAGAAAAGUAUAUAUUGUUGAGCCAUACCUCAUUUCAGUUGCUGUGUAUGGGAGGAAGGGAAAGGUGAAGUUCUUACUGCAGAGAUGAUGAAGUAGGAUACAAGAUAAGUGAAUGUACCAUGCUUAACAGUGUUGUGGAAAUAGGAGGGAAUGAGUUUGGCCUUUUUUUAGCUGUUCUCUAGCCUCUCCCUGCCAUAUUUUAUUUAGCCAUUAAUCCUUUAAAAGCCACUAGGACAUGAAUAAUCUCUCUGGAGCCUUAGGGUUUUGGGUUAAGUUGGUUUUCAUUGGGGUUUGCUGUUCUAGGCUUGUUGAGUGGUUUG